rnacentral:rRNA from 1 species
AGUAGAAAGGCGUAACAAGGUUUCCGUAGGUGAACCUGCGGAAGGAUCAUUACCGAGUGCGGGUCCUUUGGGCCCAACCUCCCAUCCGUGUCUAUUGUACCCUGUUGCUUCGGCGGGCCCGCCGCUUGUCGGCCGCCGGGGGGGCGCCUCUGCCCCCCGGGCCCGUGCCCGCCGGAGACCCCAACACGAACACUGUCUGAAAGCGUGCAGUCUGAGUUGAUUGAAUGCAAUCAGUUAAAACUUUCAACAAUGGAUCUCUUGGUUCCGGCAUCGAUGAAGAACGCAGCGAAAUGCGAUAACUAAUGUGAAUUGCAGAAUUCAGUGAAUCAUCGAGUCUUUGAACGCACAUUGCGCCCCCUGGUAUUCCGGGGGGCAUGCCUGUCCGAGCGUCAUUGCUGCCCUCAAGCCCGGCUUGUGUGUUGGGUCGCCGUCCCCCUCUCCGGGGGGACGGGCCCGAAAGGCAGCGGCGGCACCGCGUCCGAUCCUCGAGCGUAUGGGGCUUUGUCACAUGCUCUGUAGGAUUGGCCGGCGCCUGCACGACGUUUUCCAACCAUUCUUUCCAGGUUGACCUCGGAUCAGGUAGGGAACCCGCUAACUUAAGAAAAGG